rfam:Candidatus Curtissbacteria bacterium RIFCSPLOWO2_01_FTLL_41_18 rifcsplowo2_01_scaffold_16205, whole genome shotgun sequence.
GGCCCGCUAGCUCAACGGUAGAGCAAUUGCCUCUUAAGCAAUUGGUUACAGGUUCGAAUCCUGUGCGGGUCA